GACGAACCGAGCGAACGUUAUUCGGAAUCACUGGGCUUAAAGGGCGCGUAGGCGGGCGGUCAAGUCAGGGGUGAAAGCCUCCAGCUCAACUGGAGAAGUGCCUCUGAUACUGGCCGUCUCGAGGGAGGUAGGGGCGUGCGGAACUUCCGGUGGAGCGGUGAAAUGCGUAGAUAUCGGAAGGAACGUCGGUGGCGAAAGCGGCGCGCUGGACCUCUUCUGACGCUGAGGCGCGAAAGCCAGGGGAGCAAACGGG
rnacentral:rRNA from 1 species